rnacentral:rRNA from 1 species
GACGAACGCUGGCGGCGUGCUUAACACAUGCAAGUCGAACGGAAAGGCCCCCUUGUGGGGUACUCGAGUGGCGAACGGGUGAGUAACACGUGAGUAACCUACCCUUGACUUUGGGAUACUUCAGGAAACUGGGGCUAAUACCGGAUAGGAGCUCCUGCUGCAUGGUGGGGGUUGGAAAGUUUCGGCGGUUGGGGAUGGGCUCGCGGCUUAUCAGCUUGUUGGUGGGGUAGUGGCUCACCAAGGCUUUGACGGGUAGCCGGCCUGAGAGGGUGACCGGCCACAUUGGGACUGAGAUACGGCCCAGACUCCUACGGGAGGCAGCAGUGGGGAAUAUUGCACAAUGGGCGGAAGCCUGAUGCAGCAACGCCGCGUGCGGGAUGACGGCCUUCGGGUUGUAAACCGCUUUCGCCUGUGACGAAGCGUGAGUGACGGUAAUGGGUAAAGAAGCACCGGCUAACUACGUG